UCUUGCUGGUUGCAUUCUUAUCUAGAGGGAUUUGAGAGCAAAAAAAAAAAAAAAAAAGGAACUUCACAUUGCUUUUGGGCAAUCCGUGAGUGAGAGAGAGAACCAAAUGAGGGAAGGAAGCAAUUUCAGCUCAAGAAGAAGGAAAACUAAGGGAAGAAAAGCUAGGAGGAACAAGGGAAUUAGAAGGGAAUCAAUUAAAUUUCUUGAGAUUAAAGUUUAAGGUUACGCGCCAUUGUCUGUCUGAUUUACCUGAUAUGUCCAGUCUGUCUGAUUUGCUUCUGCAGCUACCUGUGAUCAGGCGCGUGACCAGGCUUAGAGGCAUCUGCCUAGAAUCUGUUUUUGUCAGCCAACCUAUGUGCCUCCCGUGGAGGUUCUGGAUAUGUGAAGUGAUUAUGGCAAUGUGAUUUAAAGUUUAAGUUU